rnacentral:rRNA from 1 species
GUGAACGCUGGCGGUAGGCCUAACACCUGCAAGUCGAACGGCAGCACAGUAAGAGCUUGCUCUUACGGGUGGCGAGUGGCGGACGGGUGAGGAAUACAUCGGAAUCUACUUUUUCGUGGGGGAUAACGUAGGGAAACUUACGCUAAUACCGCAUACGACCUACGGGUGAAAGCAGGGGAUCUUCGGACCUUGCGCGAUUGAAUGAGCCGAUGUCGGAUUAGCUAGUUGGCGGGGUAAAGGCCCACCAAGGCGACGAUCCGUAGCUGGUCUGAGAGGAUGAUCAGCCACACUGGAACUGAGACACGGUCCAGACUCCUACGGGAGGCAGCAGUGGGGAAUAGUGGACAAUGGGCGCAAGCCUGAUCCAGCCAUACCGCGUGGGUGAAGAAGGCCUUCGGGUUGUAAAGCCCUUUUGUUGGGAAAGAAAAGCAGCAGGUUAAUACCCCGCUGUUCUGACGGUACCCAAAGAAUAAGCACCGGCUAACUUCGU